rnacentral:rRNA from 1 species
GAGUUUGAUUCUGGCUCAGGAUGAACGUUGGCGGCGUGCCUGAGAUAUGCAAGUCGAGCGAUCCCGCCUUUGGCGGGAAGCGGCGAACGGCUGAGUAAUACGUAGGAACCUGCCCCUAAGUCGAGGAUAGUCCGCCGAAAGGCGGAGUAAUACUCGAUAGUCCCCGCUUAAUUUGGUGGGGUAAAGGAUCUAACCGUCCGCUUAGGGAGGGGCCUGCGGCCUAUCAGGUAGUUGGUAGGGUAACGGCCUACCAAGCCGAUGACGGGUAGCUGGCCUUAUGAAGGUGGUCNGCCAGAGGGGGACUGAGACACGGCCCCCACUCCUACGGGAGGCAGCAAUCAGGAAUCGUCGGCAAUGGGCGAAAGCCUGACCGCGCGACGCCGCGUGCGGGAAGAAGCUCUUCGGAGUGUAAACCGCUGUGGUAGGGGAGGAAGCCCCGCCGUUGGCGGGGUUGACAGUACCCUAC